AAUCUUGCAUCUGAAUUAUAAAAACCAACAUGCAUUUAUAGACUCAGUAAUUUACCACUAGAUUUUAUUAUUUACAUCACAUAGAAAGACAAGUAUGUUUGUCAGAAAGAGACUAAAUAUCUAACUUACGUGCUUUAUUAGACAUAAGGUAAAAACCCUUGCCACAACAAACAAAAUAAGAUGGCAUACCAGUCAUCCAAUUUGCAUGAACUGCAAUACACUCAAGGGGGAACUCUACAGAUGACAAAUCCACACAGCCCAAGAUGCAUUUAAGACAUGAAUUUCACUGAACUUGCCAGAAAAAAAAAUGAUAGAAACUAUCAAGUUAAAAGCAGUGUUUGAACAGAAAUUACAAUAUCUUUACCUGAACAAAUGUUCCAUUUGUAGCCAUUGAAGCUUGUGGUUUGAAAAAGAGUCUCAUGGCGGGAAACAAGACAUGCUGAAUCGACCAUUCACGUUGGGCCCAUGUAGUCUUUGCCUCAGCUAACAGAUCAUGCUCAAUUUCAUCCUCAUUUGAACCAUCCGCUAUAUCAGUGGGACCUUCCUCAUUGUCGAGAUUAUUUACAGGUCUUCUCCUUUUGUAGAAUUGCAAACCAUCACCAGAUGGAUUGGGCAAUAAAGGAGGGUUCAUGGCAUAAAAGUUUCCAAGAGCUGCUGCAAUUGUCUGAAAGCAUAUCUUCUCAUCCUCCCAAUUAACAUCAUUGCCCAAAGAAAGUACCAAUUCAGGGAUUCGAUCCAUGUCGGGCAUGUGCUGGUCAAGUAUAACAGGAAGCCUAGAUAAAUUUCCAUGAGAGUCAAUAUAAAUGCAGAAAUACUCUUCUAGCAUUUCAGCCUUUUCCUUCAGCAACUCAGUAUUCAUUUCUGCAAUCUUCUCUUUCAGGUCAUCAUUUUCAUUCGAUUCUGGAUCCAAGUCUUCUUCUUUCAAAGCCAACAUAAUGAGCUCUGGCAAGGGGGCCGGAUCACUUAGUUGUAUAGCAUUAAAAUGUGCAAACCGGCGUAGAACUUGUUGAUACAUAAGCUCUUUGCUCAAGUUCACUACAUUUACAAGGUACAAAUGAGUACUAUGCUGAAGCAAUGCAAAAAUAUCAUCUGCCAUUCCAAUAUAUGUGCACUGUCGUACAAUGUCCACCAGACCAGAAUGACAGUUGCAAUCAAUAUCAUUAAUCAGCUCUUGAAUGCUAGUGAGAUCAGCAGUUUCCUUUGGGUUCCUUCUUUGCCUAACCGAAGACCUUACAGCAGUCAAGGUAGAAUUCUUUACAAGAGGGUGAAGAGGCUUUUCUUCAAAGUAGGCAUGCAACCUUCCAGCUGGAUCCAAUACAUCAGUUCUUACCAUUUUAUUCACAGGAAUUUUUUGUGAUUUUGAACCAGAGAGUGAGGGUUCAACAUUCAAAUCCUUGCUUAUACUCAAAUGACAACUUGGAGAAGGAUCCGCCGUCUGUUCAUGAAAUGUCUUUGCUUCAUCUGAGCUCCUCAACUUUGAUUCUACAGCCAAUUGUAUCUUUUCAACAAUAAUUUCCUGAUUCAGAAGGCUUACCUCUCUCUUUGUUGGAUGCACAUUCACAUCAAUGUGUUCAGAUGGCAACACAAUGGACAUGUAUACAAAAGGCUUUGAUGCUUUCGGUAAGGUGGCAGCAUAAACAAUUUCAAGAGCUCUCUUCAAAGCAUUGCAUUCCACAAGUCUAUCAUUGAUAAAAAGCACCAUUGUCGUUUUCUUUGCAAUGUAAUUAGAAUUUGAUAUGAAUCCAUUCAUAUCAAAAACUGAACUAGAGGGAUCACUGUCUGAAGCUUCUAUUUUCAUUAGAUUGCGAGCAACUGAGACCCCAUAAACAGAUCGGAUGGAAUCCAGCCUUGAAGAUGUGGCUACUGAAUGUACAUCUGCUCUGGCAGCUCCAUGCUUUCUGCAAGAAAAGCUCACAUUUAUGUGAUGAAUGGAAAACCGGCAUAGCAAGUCUACAAUUUUUGAAUAAUCAUCAGCAGAAUUCUGGAGUGUCUUCCUCCGAGCAAUCAUGUUAUAGAACAAGUUCUCUAUCAUUAUCUGAGUCCCUUUCACAGCCGCACACGCCUUCGGCUGGUUCUCCAUGACACCAUCUCUAUAAGAUACUCUGUAGCCGUGCAACUGACCUUCAGUGAUGGUGGUGACCGUCACAUGAGCCACAUAGGUCAUACUAGCCAACGCCUCUCCCCUGAAGCCCAUCGACUUUAUCGACUGCAAAUCCUCAAAAGUGGACAGCUUCGACGUAGUGUGCCUCUCGCAUAGUAUAGGCAAAUCCUCAUAUCGAAUACCAUGACCAUCAUCGGAGACUUGGAUGAGUUUGAGGCCACCGUCCUUGACGACAACGUUAAUGGAGGUAGAGUGGGCAUCUAGACUGUUCUCCACUAGCUCUUUCACCGCCGAUACGGGCCGUUGAAUAACCUCUCCAGCGGCGAUUCGAUUAACCACGGACUCGUCUAGACGAUGAAUCUUUGGAGGAUCUUUGGGCACAGGAACAGGUGAUGAUGAUGAUGAUGAAUCUAUUUCCAUUGAGUAAGCUGGUGCCUCUCCCGCCGAGAAUGAGUGGGCGGGCAUUGGGAUGAAGUGGCACACAGAGAGCGGGAGAAAAUGAUAAUUAUAUGCAUCUUCG
rnacentral:misc_RNA from 1 species